CUACAGCAAGGCUAGGUGGUGCAGAAGGAGGGCUCCAAACCUCAGCUGACCACACUGAUGUGUAUUUUGAGAUUUUUAGACUUCUCAUGUAGGCAGUUUUCAAAAAUUGAUACAGAGGAAAUAGAUACUUUUCUGCCAGUGGAAAUUCUUCAUGCUGAGUUGUAAGAAGUUCCAUGGACCGUUUAGCUAUUAAAGGCUGACUGUCCAUAUGGCUUCCUCCACUCAUAGAUGGUAGUAAUCAGGAUGGUACCUGACUUUGCCUCUUGGUGCCACCUCUCCAAAAUUCAGACUACAAACUGAGAAUUGACGAUUUUCAACAGCACAUCAAUAUUUUCCUACAUCCAGUCACAGCAGAUGGUGCCCCACAGGGACUACUUGGAGUUUUCUGACAAGGCAAAGGAUAAGAAGAUUAAAACCUCCAAGGAAUGGAGUGCCAUGUGUAUAAAUACACUGAGGAGCCUACACUGAGUCCUGCAUCUCAGGACUGAAUUGUUCUUCUCUUACAAACCACACACCACUUUUUACCCUUGGGAGUUCUUAACAUUCUCAGACAUGUCAUUUAAAUGUGACUGUAAAAUCCCUUGGUAAGAAGCAUGUUUUACAUUUUAGAGAAUGCUGUAAAGCUUGGUUAACAAACAUCUUCAUCUAUUCCUAGUAUUGUAUGAAAAUUGUUCACAUUUUGGUCCUAUAGUGGUGUAUUGCUUGAGAUAUUAAUGUCAGCUAGGCAUAAACUAGACCCCAUGGGCUG
rnacentral:lncRNA from 7 species